CUCCCCUACCUGCAAGCUCAAAUUUAUGUAACUAUUAGAUAGUUUUGGCACAGUGGAUAUCAAAAACACAGGCAAUGUGACAUUCGGAUCCACUUGCUAUAGUACACACUAGUUUCUAUUCUUGUACACACACAUUAAGCCCACGAGAAAAAGGAAUGGACUGAGCUAUGUAUUCAUUAGAUGCACUUUCUCUAAUAUAUAGGUAUAUAGAGUUAAGCUAGAUGAUAAUUCAACCUUGAUUAAGAUUUGCUCUUGAACUUCCUUUGAGCUUUCAAGUCCACCACUAUCACUGAGAUAUUAUCCUUGCUUCCUUU
rnacentral:misc_RNA from 1 species